CUCCCCCGGGGAGCGGGGGCGGCGCUCUGAGGGCCGGCGCUGCUGCCACCAGCGGCCGCGCUGGGCCGGGGGAGGCUCGGCCGCGGGUGUGUGUCCGCCGUGUGUCACAUCGGUGCACUCACUGUGUGAACGCGGGUCUGCACACUGCCUACGGCACGUACGCCUGUAAUACGUGCGUGUAUGCAUUUCCACAGAAUCGUUAGGGGUUGGGAGGCACCUCUGGAUACCGUCUCGACCUACUCUCCUGCCAAGACAGGGUCACCUGGAUCAGGUAACACAGGAACGCGUCCAGAUCACCAUGACGAGAAGGUGCUUGUGAGUACAAAUCUUCAAACUGUGCUGUGCCCGUUGCAGAUCUGAAAGUCCACAUAGUCAGAAGCAAUUACUCAAAGCAUCUGAAGCUUGAAAACUUGCCUCUGUUUUCCAACUCAGCUACUGGGCAUAAUCUUCAGAAGAAGAUCGGUUAGACAGCUGGGAAAAGAAUGUUUUGAAGCCCUUCAUUAAGGUGCUGGUAUUCCUGAAGUUGAGCAGGGAGGCUUAACAAGGAACUGAUUUCAAUGGGAAUUCACAUUUCGAGGCCGAUUUAUUCCUUCAUGCUGCUCGCUUUUAUUUCUAGUAUACUAGUAUUUGGAUAAGGAAGGAUUUGAGUAUAUUAGCUCUGGAACUAAUAGCACUGGUUAUUAAAUGCACCAUUAAAUGCACCAGCUUUUUAGACCCAUAUUUCAGGAUAUUUGCACAUUGUUUCCCCUAUCUUAUUCUCAUCAUCACUGAGUGGGAACACAGUCUGACAUUUUAUCAAUACAUUGUAGAGUGCCAUAAUAUCUGACCAUGGGAUUCUGUUAAACGCUCCAUCAAACCAGAUCUUGUACAGAUGAAGGUGAUACAGGAGAGCUCACUGAAUGGCAUCAUCAAAUGGCUCCACAGAAAAAAAUUUUAUGAUCAGCCCUGUGUUUAUACAGAAAAUCCAACCCAGAAAAUGCACAGAGCCUUCCACUUAGUAUGAGAAGUGUCACAGUGAAUAGCAUUAUUCCCAUUUUAUAGCUGAAUGGUCCAAAGGUUGCACAGCAAGAGUGCCUUCUAAUCUCCCUACUUCUUAUUUUAUAGAUGUCAGACCCUGUUCUACCAAAGCUUCAGUGCUCUGUAUUACCAACUUAAAUCAGCACUCCUGCUCUAUCUGGAACCAGCAGAGGCUGAGGACAGAAACCUUGCAGAAAAUGUUCAUAGUAUGAUGCUCUGCUCUAGAAAUAAGCAGUUUAAUUCUUCAUCAGCUUCAAAACUCAAGAAUUCACUGUAAUAUUGUGCCCUGAUCUAGAGAUAAAAUUUUUUAAAAUGCCACCCAGUUCCAUGCAGCUACACAAUGAUGCAAACGCUGUAGGAAAUCUAGUAAGGUGCCCUCUAAUGCUGAAGGAUGUCCUCUAUGCUGAAGGAUGCAUAUGCUCAGCAAAAGGGCUUACAUCUUUUCCAUAUCCUCUGGUUGCUUUCCCUGCUGUCAUCUUAGUAUUACUAUCCAGACUGAACUUAAAUCAAUUUGCUCUCAGCUACACCACAGUCUCUACCUAGCUUUUAAUGAGAUGCUCGAUCACACUCUCUGUGCAGGAUGCUGCAGAUACAAAAUUCCCUCACGGACUCCCCUAAUUGCAAUUGCCUGAUCCUUCUAUUGAGCAGAACCAUGACAAGAUCCCAUCAAGUGUCCUUCAUGCUUGAACAACUACAACUCAUUUAAUGAUUAUUCACUUGCUUAUUUAAUAACAAAAAUCAAUGCACAAAUCCCAGCAUCAA